UACGAAGGGGGCUAGCGUUGUUCGGAAUCACUGGGCGUAAAGCGCACGUAGGCGGAUUGUUAAGUCAGGGGUGAAAUGCCAAGGCUCAACCUUGGAACUGCCUUUGAUACUGGCAAUCUCGAGUCCGGGAGAGGUGAGUGGAACUGCGAGUGUAGAGGUGAAAUUCGUAGAUAUUCGCAAGAACACCAGUGGCGAAGGCGGCUCACUGGCCCGAUACUGACGCUGAGGUGCGAAAGCGUGGGGAGCAAACAGG
rnacentral:rRNA from 1 species